GUAGGCAUAGUUUUAAACAAAACGUUAGACUGUGAUUUUAAAGAUAGAAGUUAAAUCCUCCUUGCCCACC
rnacentral:tRNA from 1 species